rnacentral:snoRNA from 1 species
UAGAUUGUACUUCAUGAAAUCAUCUCUGUAGUAUAUAUUCAAUACUGCUUUUCGCAAAGCUAAGUCGAUGUAUCUACUAUGACAGCUAUUGUUCUUUUUUUUAGCAGGGAAGGACGGACUUAGUAUUUUGGUUGUAACGUCAAGAUUUUGGUCACUGAUGUGUGUUUACUCUUAUUACUUAAUAAAAAAGCUAAGUGAAGUGGAGAUCUUUGAGUAGA